AUUGAACGCUGGCGGCAUGCUUUACACAUGCCAGUCGAACGGCAGCGCGGGCUUCGGCCUGGCGGCGCGUGGCGAACGGGUGAGUAAUGCAUCGGAACGUGCCCAGUAGUGGGGGAUAGCCCGGCGAAAGCCGGAUUAAUACCGCAUACGACCUGAGGGUGAAAGCGGGGGACCGAAAGGCCUCGCGCUAUUGGAGCGGCCGAUGUCGGAUUAGCUAGUUGGUGGGGUAAAGGCUUACCAAGGCGACGAUCCGUAGCUGGUCUGAGAGGACGACCAGCCACACUGGAACUGAGACACGGCCCAGACGCCUACGGGAGGCAGCAGUGGGGAAUGUUGGACAAUGGGGGCAAGCCUGAACCAGCGAUGCCGCGUGCGGGAAGAAGGCCUUCGGGUUGUAAACCGCUUUUGUUCGGGAAGAAAUCCUAUGGGCUAAUACCCCGGGGGGAUGACGGUACCGGAAGAAUAAGCACCGGCUAACUACGUG
rnacentral:rRNA from 1 species